rnacentral:lncRNA from 1 species
UUGCUAAAAGGCUUGGACGAUCUCCUUUGGCGGCCAAAGUUGUGGGUUCCCAGUUGAAAGGGAAAACAGAUAUAUCUGCAUGGAAGGAUGCUCUGAAUAUAAAGAAUGAUAAAUUAAGUGAGCCCAUGAGAGCUCUGUUGUGGAGUUAUGAGAAGUUAGAUCCAUGUCUACAGAGGUGCUUCCUAUAUUGCAGCUUGUUUCCAAAAGGCCACAAGUAUGUCAUUGAUGAGUUAGUUUAUCUUUGGAUGGCAGAGGGCCUUGUUGAGUCGUGCAACAAAAACAAGAGAGUGGAAGAUGUUGGGAGGGAUUGCUUCAGUGAAAUGAUCUCUGUUUCGUUCUUUCAACCAGUUGAUGAGAAACACACCGACACUUAGUAUGCUAUGCAUGAUCUCCUUCAUGAUCUGGCAGAAUUACUCUCCAAAGAAGACUACUUCAGAUUGGAACAUGAUAAGGUGACAGAAAUACCAUCAACGGUUCGACAUCUAUCUGUUCGUGUUGAUAGUAUGAUCCAACACAAGCAAAGUAUCUGCAAGCUACAUCAUUUGCGUACUAUUAUCUGCAUAUACCCCCUAAUAGAUGACGUGAGUGCCCUUUUUAGUCAGAUACUACAAAAUUUGAAGAAGUUGCGCAUACUAUGUUUGUCAUCUUACAGCAGUAAUAAAUUGCCUGAAUCUAUUGGUGAGUUGAAGCACCUUCGUUAUUUGAACACCAGUGAAACACUGAUUUCGGAAUUGCCAAGAUCACUGUGUACUCUUUACCACUUGCAGUUACUUAUGUCAAAUAACAAAGUUGAGAGUUUGCCUGAGAAGCUUUGCAAUUUAAGAAAGUUAAGGCAUCUGCAAUGUCCAUACAAAGUACAUCAAAUUUAUAACAUUGGCAAGCUAACUUUGCUUCAACAAUUGAACGAAUUUUCUGUGCAAAAGAGAAAGGGAUAUGAGUUGCAAGAGCUGAGGGACAUGAACGAGAUUUGUGGCAGUUUAAGUGUGACAAAUCUUGAGAAUUUCACUGGGAAGGAUCAAGCCUUAGAAGCGAAGCUACAUCAGAAAAGUCAUCUUGGCAGCUUGGGACUUUAUUGGAAUAACUCAAAUGUUGAGGAUAGUUUACAUUUGGAGAUUCUAGAUGGCCUGAUGCCACCACCUCAACUUCGAGACAUCACAAUUCAUGGUUACCAAUCUUCAGAAUAUCCAGGCUGGUUACUUGAUGGUUCGUAUUUUGAGUAUUUGGAAGAAUUAAGCUUUGUUCAUUGCAGCACAUUACAAUGCCUACCAUCCAAUACUAAGCUAUUUGUGAAUUGCUCUAGUCUUGUACUCAGGGAUGUGCCAAACCUGAAGACGUUACCUUGCCUUCCACAAGGCCUUGAAAGUUUAGUUAUAGAAAAAUGCCCACUGCUUAUAUUUAUUUCCAAUGAUGAGCUGGAACAUCAUGAUCAGAGAGAGAAUAACAUGAGGAAAGACCACUUGGCAUCACAGCUUGGUUUAAUCUGGGAUGUGGGUUCAGUAGAUAUUAGUAGUGUAGUCUCAUCGGAACAUUCUUUUCUGAAGCAGUUGUUGAUAUUGAUGCAUGCUGAUGUGUCACAUGUUCAAAACCUUGAAAGUGCUCUAGAAAGAGGGGAAAAUGAAGCAUUGGUAAAGGAAGAUAUCAUCCAGGCAUGGAUAUACUGUCAUGAGCAGAGGAUGAGAUUCGUGUAUGGAAUGAACACUAGGCUGCCGCUGGUUCUACCAUCAGGAUUUCGUCAUCUGUUUCUUUCUUCAUGCAGUAUUACAGAUGGAGCUUUAGCUUUAUGCCUUGAUGGCCUGGCUUCACUGGAAUGUUUGGCCUUAGAAAAGGUUAUGAAGAGGUCCUUCAGAAGACACUUCCUUCAGAAGAGGUCCUCCAACAUUUGACAAAACUUGACUACUUGUCCAUUGAUUAUUGCUGGUCUCUCAGGUCAUUAGGAGGAUUACGGGUUGUUACCUCUCUUUCAGUUGUUCGAUUGAGGUCCUGCCCUUCUUUAGAGUUGGCAUGCGGAGCAGAAUGUUUGCCAGUAUCUCUUGAGAGACUCAGUAUAAAGAAUUGUGUGCUUGCAGCUGAUUUCCUCUGUACGGACUGGCCACACAUGAAUGAUAUUGAGAUAUGGAAUUGCAGAAGCACCGCAUGCUUGUCUCUUGGUAGUCUCACCUCUGUUAAAUGGUUGUUACUGCAGCACUUGCCAGAUUUAUGUUCGCUCGAAGGAUUGUCUUCCCUGCAACUUCACCGCCUAGAAUUGAGUGAUGUUCCGAAACUCGCUCCCGAGUGUAUCUCACAGUUUCGAGCCCAAAACUCACUCCUUGUUAGUAGUCCUGUAAUGUUAAAAAACAUGCUCUCGGCUGAAGGUUUCAGAGUUCCAUCAUGUCUCACCCUUCAGAAUUGCAAGGAAGAGUUCUUUUCAUUUGAAGAAUCAGCAAAUUUCACAUCAGUCAAGACCCUGACAUUCUUUCAUUGUCAAAUGAUUUCCCUACCAACAAACCUGAUGUGCUUCUCCAAUCUGAGGAAUCUCAACAUCACUGACUGCCUCAACAUAUCAUCUUUACCAGAUCUACCAUCCUCCCUUCAGCACAUAUGCGUACUGUAUUGUAGUGAGCUGUUGAAGGAGAGCUGCCGAGCACCUGAUGGAGAAAGUUGGCCAAAGAUUGCGCAUAUCCGCGGGAAGGAUUUUGAAUAAAGCUUGAUUUGGAUUCUCACCUACAAAUAAACGGAAAGGUAAAUUAGCUCCAGGCCGCCAACUUUAUCUUUGUAACAUAUAUGCAUUUAAUUAUGUUUUUAAACUUUGAAAUCCUCCAUUUGCUUCAAAGUUCCCUUCAUUGGCUGAAUUUCAAAUUAAUAGGAGGUCCAAGAUGUGUGCCCUCCAGCAGCAACCUGCUACGAGGUGGAGUUCCUCAGGCUGGCUCAUCUUAACAGUUCAACUGAUCAACUCUGUCUCUACUUCACCAGUCGGUGCUUUGGCCUGAUCAUCCUAAUGAAGACUAACAAUAACAUCACCUCGGAAUUUUCUCCUGCUUCUCUGAUCCCCUGCGUCGUCGGUGCUUUGGCCUUACAUUCCGAAGCUAGAAAGCGUGCUGCUUCAGGUCGUCAGGCAUGGGCUGUACAAUGUCUGAGCUGGUCUUCGUUAGGGGAUGUUAUUGUGAGUCUGCGGCGGCCCAGUUAGAGGAUAAAAAUGAUCAUGCCCUGCUUUGUUUAAUUGUAAAUAUAUGAUGAUGGUCUGGCAGUGCUAGUUAUGUGAUAUGAGCACCAGUUUUACAUAUAUGACUGUUUGCCAUUCAAGCUAUCUAAUUAUCAUGAGUGAGCAGUAUGCUGAUGCGUGCACUUAGCUAGCUAGCAGAUAGCUGUUUUCUGUUUUAUGAAAAGCAAGUAGCCGUGCUCUCUUUUGCUGGUGUUGCAGCUAAUCUUGGUGUGGUACCCCAUGCGAGACAUUAAUUUGCCCUGACAAUUAAUUUGUGCUAACUCUAUGAAGAAGACUGUAGCUAAUCUCGAAUUGCCACCGAAGAACUGAAGAAUGAAUACUCUGUUCUGUUGGAAGAAGAGGCGGACACACAGGGGGCAUGCUCUGUUAAAGAAGGUACUAAGGUCAUGCAUGUUGUUGUCUAUAUAGCUUUCAUUCUUCGUUUCAAUUUUUUGAUGUACUCUCUCCAUCCCAUAAUAUAAGAACGUUUUUCAAGUAAACAUAGCUUGAAAAACAUUGUUAUAUUAAGGGACGGAGGGAGUAGUAUUUAUCCAGAGUUUGUCAUCGUGUCGCCUGUUGCGGUCUAUCAUGCAUGAGUUGUUAGCCUAAUUUGGGGGUGCUUCGUUACACAUUCUGAAAGGAUAUAUAUAUAUGUGGCCUGACAAUUUCCCUGACUUCCUUUGCAGCGACUGUGCUAGGACUAUACUGUCCAAUGGAGAGGUUGUUUCGUCGAUCCAAAGAAAAAGGAGAAAGGGACCCAAAUGCCGCUGAUUUCCCUUUUGGUGUGGUGGCAAACUGCUCUACAUCCUGAUUGAUAUACCAUUUUGAUGGUAUCUCAGUUUUAAACCGUGGCAGAUCUCUUCACAAACAUUUUUAGCGUGGUGAGCUUGAAUAUUUUUCAAAUUGCAAAUAUGUUUUAAAUUUGUUUAUAUUAUUCCAAAUUUGUGAAUAUUAUUAGAUUCACAAACAUUUUAAAGAUUCGUUAGUUUUUAAUUUGUGAAUACUUUUCAAAUUCCCAAAUAUUUUUUGAAAAUUCAUGGACUUCUUCAAGUUCAUGAUUAUUUAAAAUACACAGAAACUUUUAAAAUUGAUGAAUUUUAUUCAAUUCUUGAACAUUUUUCAAAUUCAUUCUUAUUAUUUUCAAAUUCUACACAAUUUCUCAAUCUUGACAUUUUUUAGAGUUCAUGACUAUUAUUUAAAGUUCCUGAAUUUUUUAAAAUUGAUUAACAUAUUUUAUGAUGCACGAUCUUUAUAAAUAUUUCAAAAACAAAUAUUUGUCUUUUUCUCAAACCAGGAGGCUGUUGGUUUUCUUUAUCGAGUCUCAGAGUACCGAACAGCAGGGGGAAAAAAUCGAGCAGAGAGGAGUGAGUAAAAUUUGUUUUGAGGGAAGGAGAGGAGUGAAUGAACCAGCACAUGAGAGGAGCACACCUAGCGUUAGUGGGCCGACCUAAACUACGCGAUAUAGCGUCCAAAGGAACAUGAGCUCCCACCAAAGACCAAACAAGCCUAACUAUCAAGCCAUGUUUUACCGCGCUACAGGCGUGAUGAUUGAUCUUCAAAUCAUUCAAAAAUCAAGCCAUGUUUUCCUAAAAAAAAUAUUAAGCCAUGUGCUUCCUUCGGAGUUUGUUUGAUUAGAGUGGCCCACUGCAUGAAAAAUUCUCUUUGAUUACACCUCUUUGUCUGGUGAACAGCUCCUAAAGAAAACUGGUUUGCUGAUUCUUUAAACUAGGCCGGAUGAUCAUGAAGCAAAAUACUUGGGUGCAGGCAACAAUUUGAUUGACAACAUACAUUCCCCAAGAGUCUAAAAGUCUGUUUAUUUAGUGUUAGCCUUUGGCUGAUAAUUGCAUAGCACAUUAUUUAUAGGAGUAGCUCACUUGUGGGUGAGGGCCCACUGGUUUGCGAUUAAGUGACAACAAGCAGCUUAACUACCGGCAUAUUUUUCAUCGCAAAAGAAAAAAAAAUACCACCAUACUUAUUUUUGCGCUUUUGCUCUGUUUCUUUUCAUGAUUUUUGGUUCAGUGUACUAUGUUCCUUGUUUGUCUUUCUGGUUCACUCGCUACCAUUACUUUUAGGUACUACCUAAUGAACCUAUGAGGUGCACCAUUUGUGUCAAGAACACUAGAAAAAUAAAACAACAUCAGGAAAAACCACGGGGCAAACCGCAUUACCAAAAGUAGAAAGACGUGGGUGUGCUAAAUCGAUCAUAAUAUCAAUUUGGUCCAUGAGAAACCAGUAGAAGAUAGAUGAGACAAUGUUUUGGCUACACGCGUUGCAGCACACGGGGGGCACAGCGGGAAGAACAACUACCAAGUUGUGUGGGCAUUCCUUCCGAUAUCAGUCAGCUGGAAAGAGCAGGUAACCUUCAUUAUGGUUCUUCAGAUUGAUCCGACUCUUGUUGAGAACGCUCAGACUCUUCUCCAAAAUGUGUCGGCUCUUCUUUGUUAAGUAUAGAUGUUACAUUGUCAUGUUCAGUUACUGUAUGACUAAGUCAAGCUCCAUUAGCAAGCCCACGUCGCAUGAUUAAUGCACGAUGGCAAAACUGUAACCUCCCUGUACUGACCCUAUAUGUAGUCGACACUCUGAAGAAAUGAAAGACAAGCAUCACAGUUCUAUUCAGUUUACAAAUUAACAUGGUAGUAUAUCAGACUAGUUUGGAUCCUCUACCUCUCCCAUGGCCGGCGACGACGGCGCGGCCAGCGCCGCCACCCAACUAGGCCCUCUCGGCCACCUACCUACCUCCACUAACAAACCCGCCCCCUCCCAACUCCGUCCUCCCCGCCGCCGCCGCAACUCCCUCUCGGCCAACUGGGAUCAGGCGGCAUUCCUUCACGCGAUGAACGCCUACACCAACACAAACGACAGCGGCUGGAUCAUGGAUUCCGGGGCAACUGCACACAUAUCGGGCUCAUCUGGUAUGCUAUCACAUAUCCAACCCAUCUCUUCUCUUCCUCCUAUCAUUGUCAGAAAUGGCUCUACUCUGGCUGUUUCACAUCUUGGCAACUCUGUUUUUCACAAUCUUCAUAUCUUCGUAACAUUCUAGUCGCCCCCUCUCUUAUCAAGAACUUAAUCUCUGUGCGACAAGUCACUACUGACAACUCUGUAUCUGUUGAAUUUGACCCUCUUGGCCUCUCUGUGAAGGACCUGGCCACUCAGGUACUGAUCGCGCGGCAUAACAGCUUCGGCGACCUGUAUCCAUUCUCAAGCUUCGCCUCAGCUUCGUCUCGCGACUCCGCAGCCCGAGCCUUUGUCACGUCUGUCAACCUUUGGCAUUGUCGGUUAGGACAUCCUAAUAGUCAACUUGUAUCCAAUUUACUUCAGCAAUUUAGCAUUCCCAGUAGCAAAGAUCCUCAUGAGCCAGCGCUCUGCGAAGCCUGCCAAAGAGGAAAGCAUGUUAGGCUACCGUAUUCCCCUUCCCUCACUUGUACUUCUGCUCCUUUUGAGCUUCUACAUUGUGAUAUAUGGACAUCGCCUCUAUUAAGCAUCUCUGGUUACAAGUAUUACCUCGUGAUUGUUGAUGACUUCACACACUUCAUGUGGACUUUCCCUCUGCGAGCCAAGUCUGAUGUGCACACUAUCUUUGUGAACUUUCAGCGUUAUGUGUCCACCCAACACUCCACUCCCAUAAAGCUUAUCCAAUGCGAUAAUGGCGGCGAAUUUGAUAACACCCGCACCAGAGAAUUCUACUUAACCCAUGGCAUCGCCCUUCGCUUCUCCUGCCCUUACAGCUCGCCACAGAAUGGUAAAGCUGAGCGAGCCUUGCGAACUUUGAAUGAUAUCGUCAAGACUCUACUCAUUCAAGCUUCGAUGCCCGGCGAUUAUUGGGUCGAAGCGCUUCGCACUGCGACUCUGCUUCUUAACAUCCGACCUCACAAAUCAGCCCCAUCCACCACCCCAUACUCCCUACUCUACAAUUCACCACCACCAUUUGACACCCUCAUAGUUUUCAAGUGUCUUUGUUAUCCCAAUAAUAUCACAGCCACAGCCAAACACAAACUUGCUCCACGAUCGCUUCCAUGCGUCUUCCUCGGUUACCCUGACGAGCAUCGUGGAUAUCGGUGCUUAGACCUGAACUCUGUCCGUGUUCUUAUUUCCCGUCAUGUCGUUUUCGACGAAACCUCUUUUCCAUUUGCCAACCAUCCUCACAAAUUCACGCUUCCGCCACUGUCUGCUCCUCUAAUUUCCCAUCGCCCAACCUUUGUGCCCUCCUCAUCCUCUUCUCCGACUACUGCACAAUCACAACCCAUUACCCAACCUUCUCCUCCACAACCCACCCCACUCACACCAUCUGCCACACCAUCCCCUGCAGCUUCUUCAUGCACUGCUGCCUCCCCUGAAACCCCGGUACUACCAGCACGUGCCGUCCCUGUCCCUAUUCCUGCCAACCCUCAUAAGAUGACCACACGCGCUAAACUGGGAUUUGGUUUUCCUAAACGUCGUCUGAACCUCAUGGCCACUACCAGCACAAUCUCUCCCAUCCCCAAAACUUAUCGCUCUGCUUUUAGUGAUCCACAUUGGUCUGAUGCCAUGUGCUCUGAGUACGACGCUUUCAUCCAAAAUGACACCUGUGAUCUUGGACCUCGACCACCCACAACCAACAUUGUAUCCGACAAAUGGAUAUUCAGACACAAGUUUCAUGCGGAUGGCUCUCUUGCCCGCUACAAGGCUAGAUGGGUCUGUCGCGGCUUCUCACAGCAACCUGACAUAGAUUAUGACAAAACCUUCUCUCCAGUUGUCAAACCCAGCACCAUACGCACUGUGCCCUCCAUUGCUAUUUCUUCCUCAUGGCCAGUUCACCAACUCGACGUAAAGAAUGCUUUUCUCCAUGGCUCCUUAACUGAAACAGUUUACUGCCAUCAACCCCAAGGCUUUGAAAACCCCUCUCUUCCUAACCAUGUCUGUCUUCUCAAGAAGUCCUUGUAUGGCCUUAAACAGGCCCCCACUAGUAGAUAAAGGGGUUUUUGUCCCGGUUGGUAAGGCCCUUUAGUCCCGGUUUUUGAACAACCGGGACUAAAGGGUCGCGGCCACGUGGAGCUCCACCUUUAGUCCCGGCUAGUAACACCAACCGGGACUAAAGGAAAUUUUACAAAAAAAAUUUUGAAUUUUUUUUAAAUUUUUUUAUUUUCAAUUUUCUGGAUUAUUUUAACCUCUAAUCUCUAAUCACCACCCCUCAUCACUGCUCAAUUUAUCCUCUAAUCUCUAAUCACCCCUCAUCAUUCCAAUCAUCUAACUUCCCGAACGGUCACCCAUCCUCCCACUCCCCCAGCCUGAGCACGUUUAACUUCCGGGUUCUAUUCUCCCUCGUUUCCAAGUCUGCACUUGUUGUUUUCCUAACAAUAGUAAGAUGUCAAUCCUAUUAACCCUCAGGAAUUUUGCUUGAGCAUGAAGUGACACAUUUCACUGUUUGAGUUUGAAACUAUUGUUUUAAAAAAUAAUAAUUAUUUAGUAACACAAAUAUUUCUUGAAUAAUUAGUUUGACCAUUGUUUGACCAGAUUUGACCAAAAUUCAAAAUAACUGAAAUAAUUAUUUAGUAACAUUAAUAUUCUAGAAUAAUUAGUUUGACCAUUGUUUGACCACAGUUUGAAUUUUUUUUGAUUUUUUCCACUCUAGAUCUUAAAAGCCCCGUAACUUUUUUUCUGUUAGGAUUUUGAAAAUGUUUAACGGGGUUCCCCCUGUUAAAUCUGGAUGUGCCUUUUCGACUAGAUGAUUUUUCAUAUAAAAAACUUUUUCAUCCGAGUUAGUAUGCAAAAGUUAUGCCCAUUUUACUAAAUUCUAGAGAGAUUUUGCAAACAAAGUUGAAAUUCACAUUUGCAAAUUUUCCCAACAACUAGACCACAUAUCACAUGGGAAACUUAUUUUUUUAUUUUUUUGACAUUUUCAUCAUUUUCUUUUAUUUUUUUUUAANNNNNNNNNNNNNNNNNNNNNNNNNNNNNNNNNNNNNNNNNNNNNNNNNNNNNNNNNNNNNNNNNNNNNNNNNNNNNNNNNNNNNNNNNNNNNNNNNNNNNNNNNNNNNNNNNNNNNNNNNNNNNNNNNNNNNNNNNNNNNNNNNNNNNNNNNNNNNNNNNNNNNNNNNNNNNNNNNNNNNNNNNNNNNNNNNNNNNNNNNNNNNNNNNNNNNNNNNNNNNNNNNNNNNNNNNNNNNUACCGGUUCGUGCCAUGAACCGGUACUAAUGCCUCAAACCCCAUUAGUACCGGUUCGUGGCACGAACCGGGACUAAAGGUCUAACCCUUUAGUCCCGGUUGGUGCCAUGAACCGGUACUAAUGGGCAUCGCACCCUUUAGUCCCGUGGCCCCUGGGCGCACGAACCGGGACUAAUGCCCCCAUUCGUCCCGGUUCUAGACUGAACCGGGACUAAUGGGCUAACCCGGGGUGGACCAAAGCCCUCUUUUCUACUAGUGCCCCAGAGCUUGGUUUCAUCGGUUUACCACUUUUAUAAACUCUAUUGGCUUCACUUCCUCCAAAUCCGAUAAUUCACUCUUUGUAUACCAUUUUGCUAAUGCCACUGCUUAUCUUCUCUUAUAUGUAGAUGAUAUUGUUCUCACCGCCUCCUCUGAUGCAUUUCUCACCUCCAUCAUUGCCUCUCUCAAUUCUGAGUUUGCCAUGACCGAUCUAGGUCACCUCCAUCAUUUUCUAGGUAUUUCCGUUAGCCGGUCUUCUACUGGCCUCUUUCUUUCUCAGCAAUAAUACAUCACUGAGCUCCUUGACCGGGCAGGCAUGACCAAUUGCCAAACUGCAUGCACCCCUGUCGACACUGGACCAAAGUUGGACUCCACAGGCCCUCCUGUUUUGGAUCCCACCAUGUAUCGCAGUCUCGCCGGUGCAUUACAAUGUGCAACUCUUACACGUCCUGACAUUGCUUAUUCUGUCCAGCAGGCUUGCCUAUAUAUGCAUGACCCACGUGAACCUCACCUCAAUCUUGUCAAGCGCAUCCUGCGCUAUCUUAAAGGAACUCUUCACCUUGGCCUCAACCUCAACAAAUCCUCCCCAACUACAUUGACAGCAUACUCAGAUGCCGACUAGGCUGGUUGCCCCGAAACCCGGCGUUCGACCUCAGGGUUUUGUGUGUAUUUAGGUGACAACCUGAUCUCCUGGUCUUCAAAACAGCAACACACUGUCUCGCGCUCAUCAGCUGAAGCAGAGUAUCGCGCAGUUGCCCAUGUUGUUGCCGAGACGGUCUGGUUGACCUAUCACCACUGCAACCAUUGUGUAUUGCGACAACGUUUCUGCCAUGUACCUAUCUGCUAACCCUGUGCAGCACAGACGGACAAAACACAUCGAGAUUGACCUGCAUUUUGUCAGAGAACGAGUUCAGCUCCGUGAAGUUCGAGUGUUACAUGUGCCAACCAGCUCGCAGUUUGCUGACAUUUUCACAAAGGGUCUUCCUACAGCAGUGUUUCAAGACUUUCGUACCAGUCUCAGCAUAUCUGAAGAUGUAGCUGACACUACGGGGGGAUGUUAAAUAUAGAUGUUACAUUGUCAUGUUCAGUUACUGUAUGACUAAGUCAAGCUCCAUUAGCAAACCCACGUCGCAUGAUUAAUGCACGAUGGCAAAACUGUAACCUCCCUGUACUGACCCUAUAUGUACUCGACACUCUGAAGAAAUGAAAGACAAGCAUCACAGUUCUAUUCAGUUUACAAAUUAACAUUCUUUACAAUACUUCGACUCUUCUCUGAAAUGCUCCGGCUCUUCUUUGAAUGCUGGAACUUUGGGACUUGUUCAUAAUGAAUUGUGCAACACUUGUUGACCUGCUGUUUGGGGAUGUCUGUCUCUCGUUCUCUUGCAACAUAACAUUGUUAGCUCGUACGAUCUGCCUUUACUUCAACCUUGCCUCAUAGCUCCGCUGGCUGCUACAACGCUGCUUCUCACUUCUUCAUCUGUGUAAGACCACCACUAUUCUCGUCUAUUUUCCUCUACGAAUCUGGCUGUAGGGUUCUGUUUAUUAUCUUCCUUAUUGCAACUGGCUAAUUUAUCUCAUGAUUUCUCACUCCAACAGGUGUUCAUCCAUUGCUUAUUCACGGGUUGUUUCUGCCUGCGAUCCAGAAGCACUUUGAUUGCUUGUCUAUCAUUUAAUCAGGUCAUUACCCGCUCUCAAAAUAUUAUCCUUGGCUUUUGCCAUUGUCUACAGACAUGCCAGUAGGUUUCUUUUUUCUUUUCUCUGUUCCAUGCAGUUGACUAAUUUAUCCUGUGAUUUCCUACUCCAACAGUUUUUUCAUCCAUCUGUCACUUUAUUCGGGCCAUUCCACACCCAAAGAAAGGAAAAAAGAGAGGGGAAAUUGUUUCACAAAUUGUCUACUUGUUCAUAUCCAUACACACCUAGAAACACGCCUACUCUUUUCAGCCUAGUGACCCUCACUUUAGACAAGGAGAAGACUACCUUCAGGGUUCUUUACUUGUUUCCAUAAUUUGUCUUUCCGCACCCAAGAUCUGCGCAUCCACAAAACAAUCAAAACUCCCCUCCAUAGGCAUAUACACCCAAAAAAUAAACGCUGCAACCCAAUGGAAGUGGCGUUGGCUAGUGCUGCAUUAAGCGUUAGCUUAAAAUUGGCGGCAUCACCUGUCUUAAAGAAGCUCCUUGCUGAUGCUUCAACGUACUCCCUCCGUCCGGAAAUACUUGUCAUCAAAAUGAAUAAAAGGGGAUGUAUCUAGAUGUAUUUUAGUUUUAGAUACAUCCCUUUUUGUCCAUUUUGAUGACAAGUUUUUCCGGACGGAGGGAGUACCUCGGAGUGGACAUGGCCCAUGAGCUCCAUGAAAUGACCACUAUCUUGCCGCAGUUUGAGUUCUUGAUUGAAGCAGCAAACAAGGGAAACCACAGGCCCAAGUUGGACAAAUGGCUUCAGGAACUCAAAGAAGGCUUCUACAUGGCUGAAGACCUGCUGGACGAGCAUGAGUACAUUCUCCUCAAGUGCAAAGCUAAGGGGAAGGAUUCCAUGCUGGCCAAUGCCUCCACCAUCAACAACACUUUUAUGAAGCCUCUACGUUCUGUAUCAAGCAGACUGUCCAAUCUGAGCUAUGAGAACAGAAAGCUAAAUUGCCAUCUGAAGGAGCUGAAGGUUACCCUUGCGAAAGCCAAGGACUUCCAUCAAUUGCUCUGCUUACCAGCUCGGUCUGGUUAUAAUGCAAAGAGCCCCGCCAUACCAUCAACUAUUGUUCCCGAGACCACAUCAAUACCACCUCUGAAAGUGAUUGGUCGUGACAAGGACUGCGACCACAUAAUACAUCGACUUACCAAGACAACUGCUACUACUGAGUCUAGUACAUCUAUGUACUCGUGUUUGGCAAUUGUAGGAGCAGGAGGCAUGGGAAAGUCCACCUUGGCACAACAUGUAUUCAAUGACAAGAGGGUAAAAGAAUAUUUUGAUGUAAUAAUGUGGGUAAGCAUCUCACGCAAACUUUAUGUCCGGUCGUCAUACACGGGAGAUCAUUGAGUCUGCCUCUCAGGGGGAAUGCCCACAUAUUGAUAACCUUGAUACUCUGCAGUGCAAACUGACAAACAUAUUGCAUGAGUUAGGGAAAUUCCUGCUUGUGUUGGAUGACGUUUGGUUUGAACCUGGCAGUGGGAGGGAAUGGGAGCAACUGUUAGUUCCUCAAUUUCCCAACAGAUGGGAAGCAAAGUUCUGGUGACUUCUUGGCGGGGUACAUUUCCCUCUGCACUUUGUUGUGAAGAAGUGUAUCCUCUGGAAAACAUGGAAGAUGCUCAAUUCCUGGCACUCUUCAAACACCAUGCAUUCUCUGGACCAGAAAUCAAAAUUCCGCAGGUGCGCGAAAGGCUGGAAGAUUUUGCAGAGAAAAUUGCUAAAAACCUUGGCCAAUCUCCUUUGGCAGCAAAAGUAGUGGGCUCCUAGUUGAAAGGGAAAACUAAUAUGAUUGAAUGGAAGGAUGCUCUAACUAUGAAGAUUGACAAACUAAGCGAGCCCAUGAGUGCUCUUUUGUGGAGUUAUGAGAAGUUAGAUCCGUGUCUGGAGAGGUGCUUUCUAUAUUGCAGCUUGUUUCCAAAAGGCCACAAGUAUUUAAUUGAUGAGUUGGUUCAUCUUUGGAUGGCAGAGGGCAUUGUUGAUUUGUGCAACCAAAAUAAGAGAGUGGUAGAUUUUGGGAGGGAUUGCUUCAAGGAGAUGAUCUCUGUUUCGUUCUUUCAACAACUUUAUGAGAGAUACACUGGCACAUACUUUGUUAUGCAUGAUCUCCUUCAUGAUCUUGCAGAAUCACUCUCCAAAGAAGACUACUUCAGAUUGGAAGAUGAUAAAGUGACAGAAAUACCAUCCACUGUUUGGCAUCUAUUUGUUGGUGUUGUUAGUAUGAUGCAACACAAGCAAAGCAUCUGCAAGCUACACCAUUUACGCACUAUUAUCUUCUUAGACCCCCUAAUGGAUGAUGUUGGUGACCUUUUUAAUCAGAUACUACAGAAAUUGAAGAAGUUGCGUGUAGCCGUGUACUAUAUUUGUCAUCUUACAACAGCAGUAAGUUGCCCGAAUCUGUUGGUGAGUUGAAGCACCUUCGGUAUUUGAACAUCAUCAGAACACUGACUUCUGAAUUGCCAAGAUCAUUGUGUACUCUUUACCACUUGCUGUUACUUUUGUUAAAUGAUAAAGUUAAGAGUUUCCCUGAGAAAUAUGCAAUUUAAGGAAGUUAUGGCAUGUUGAACGGCAUGAUUAUAGAAACACGUCAGUCAAAAAGUUGUGGUAGAUUAAUGAUUAGAAGAAUUUUCUGCAAGCUAACUUUGCUUCAAGGAUUAGAAGAAUUUUCUGUGCAGAAGAAAGGGGGAUAUGAGUUGCAACAACUAAGGGACAUGAAUGAGAUUUGUGGUAGAUUAAUUGUCACAAAUCUUGAGAAUGUUAUUGGGAAGAAUAAAGCCUUAGAAUCGAAGUUGUAUCAGAAAAGUUAUCUUGGCAGCUUGCAACUCGCCCGGAGUUCCAAGAAUAACACAAAUGCAGAGGACAGUUUACAUUUGGAGAUUAUAGAAGGCCUGAUGCCACCGCCUCAACUAUUGGGCCUUAAAAUUCACGGUUACAAUUCUUCUAAAUAUCCAGGCUGGUUACUCAAUGCUUCAUAUUUGGAGAGUUUGGAACAUUUAAGCUUUGUUAAUUGCAGCAUGUUACAAAGCCUACCAUCCAAUACUGAACUAUUUGGGAAUUUAUCUUCACUUGUCCUCGACAAUGUGCCAAACCUGAAGACAUUACCUUGUCUUCCACUACGCCUUGAAAGAUUAGAAGUAGAAAAUUGCCCACUGCUUAUAUUUAUUCCCAAAGAUGAGCUGGAACAUCAUUACCUGGUACAGAAUAUCAUGAGGACAGACCACCUCGCAUCACAACUUGGUUUAAUAUGGGAGGUGGAUUCAGGAUCAAAUAUCAGGACUGUUCUCUCAUCGGAACAUUCAUUUCUGAAGCAGCUAAUGAUAUUGAUUCAUGCUGAUGUGUGAAAUGUUCAAAACCUUGAAAGUUCUCUAGAAACAGAGAAAGAUGAAGUAUUUUUAAAGGAGGUAUCAUCAAAACAUGGACAUAUUGUCAUGAGCAGAGGAUGAGACUCGUGUAUGAAAGGAGGAUUAGGCUGCCGCUGGUUCCACCAUCGGGACUUCGUGUACUUUUUCUUUCUUCAUGCACUAUUACAGAUGAAGCUCUAGCUGUUUGCCUUGGUAGCUUGGGUUCACUGAAACAUUUGUCCUUACAAAAAAUAAUGACUUUAACUACACUUCCUUCAGAAGAGGUCCUCCAACAUUUGACCAAACUUAACCGCUUGAUUGUCGAAUAUUGCUGGUGUCUCAGGUCAUUAGGGGGUUUACGAGCUGCUACCUCACUUUCAGAUGUUCGGUUGUGGUCCUGCCCUUCUUUAGAGUUGGCACAUGGAGCAGAAUGUUUACCAUUAUCUCUUGAGAG